UACGGGGGGGGCAAGCGUUGUUCGGAAUUACUGGGCGUAAAGCGUGCGCAGGCGGUUUUGUAAGCCAGAUGUGAAAUCCCCGGGCUUAACCUGGGAACUGCAUUUGUGACUGCAUGGCUGGAGUGCGGCAGAGGGGGAUGGAAUUCCGCGUGUAGCAGUGAAAUGCGUAGAUAUGCGGAGGAACACCGAUGGCGAAGGCAAUCCCCUGGGCCUGCACUGACGCUCAUGCACGAAAGCGUGGGGAGCAAACAGG
rnacentral:rRNA from 1 species